AUCCAUAUUGCCAAUUUUAGAAAAACAAAAGAGUAAUGGGUCACUUGAAGCUCUCAUCUUCUACACCAACUCUUCUUAUUGUUCUCUUGAUCCUUCACUUUCUUAUGGUUUCUGCAGAUUUUACAAGAACUCGAGUCAAUUAUGCGAUGAACCGCGAAGCCACCGAAGGAAAUCAGGCUGGAGGAUUCAAUCAAAGAGCAAGGAUUAACCACGGGAGCUAUCGUGGGCCACGAAAACAUCUAGUGAAUCCCACAGUGGUAGAUGUUUACACAGUUCCUGAAUCUUCAGUUUGAAUUGAAGAUUUAACUAUACAAAGAUCAGUUCUUGCAAGCAAUAUAAGGAGUAAAGUCUCUUAUGUAUUUUCUUAAUGUUGAAGUAAAAAACCAAAGUGGAUAAACAAAGUUUCUUUGAGUUUGCAAAGUACUUUUCUCUCUUACCAUAUAUAAUGCUGAUAGUGAAAUUUACUUGAGAAGAACUCGAUGCAUAAUAAUACACUGCAAAAGUUAAAGCCUAAAGAGCAAAGUUCCUA